rnacentral:rRNA from 1 species
CACUAUCGUUAACUGAAUACAUAGGUUAACGAGGCGAACCGGGGGAACUGAAACAUCUAAGUACCCCGAGGAAAAGAAAUCAACCGAGAUUCCCCCAGUAGCGGCGAGCGAACGGGGAGCAGCCCAGAGUCUGAAUCAGCUUGUGUGUUAGUGGAACGGUCUGGAAAGUCCGACGGUACAGGGUGAUAGUCCCGUACACCAAAAUGCACAGGCUGUGAACUCGAAGAGUAGGGCGGGACACGUGGUAUCCUGUCUGAAUAUGGGGGGACCAUCCUCCAAGGCUAAAUACUCCUGACUGACCGAUAGUGAACCAGUACCGUGAGGGAAAGGCGAAAAGAACCCCGGCGAGGGGAGUGAAAAAGAACCUGAAACCGUGUACGUACAAGCAGUGGGAGCACCUUCGGGUGUGACUGCGUACCUUUUGUAUAAUGGGUCAGCGACUUAUAUUCUGUAGCAAGGUUAACCGUAUAGGGGAGCCGCAGGGAAACCGAGUCUUAACUGGGCGUUAAGUUGCAGGGUAUAGACCCGAAACCCGGUGAUCUAGCCAUGGGCAGGUUGAAGGUUGGGUAACACUAACUGGAGGACCGAACCGACUAAUGUUGAAAAAUUAGCGGAUGACUUGUGGCUGGGGGUGAAAGGCCAAUCAAACCGGGAGAUAGCUGGUUCUCCCCGAAAGCUAUUUAGGUAGCGCCUCGUGAAUUCAUCUUCGGGGGUAGAGCACUGUUUCGGCUAGGGGGUCAUCCCGACUUACCAACCCGAUGCAAACUACGAAUACCGAAGAAUGUUAUCACGGGAGACACACGGCGGGUGCUAACGUCCGUCGUGAAGAGGGAAACAACCCAGACCGCCAGCUAAGGUCCCAAAGUCAUGGUUAAGUGGGAAACGAUGUGGGAAGGCACAGACAGCCAGGAUGUUGGCUUAGAAGCAGCCAUCAUUUAAAGAAAGCGUAAUAGCUCACUGGUCGAGUCGGCCUGCGCGGAAGAUGUAACGGGGCUAAACCAUGCACCGAAGCUGCGGCAGCGACACUAUGUGUUGUUGGGUAGGGGAGCGUUCUGUAAGCCUGCGAAGGUGUGCUGUGAGGCAUGCUGGAGGUAUCAGAAGUGCGAAUGCUGACAUAAGUAACGAUAAAGCGGGUGAAAAGCCCGCUCGCCGGAAGACCAAGGGUUCCUGUCCAACGUUAAUCGGGGCAGGGUGAGUCGACCCCUAAGGCGAGGCCGAAAGGCGUAGUCGAUGGGAAACAGGUUAAUAUUCCUGUACUUGGUGUUACUGCGAAGGGGGGACGGAGAAGGCUAUGUUAGCCGGGCGACGGUUGUCCCGGUUUAAGCAUGUAGGCUGGUUAUCCAGGCAAAUCCGGAUAAUCAAGGCUGAGGUGUGAUGACGAGGCACUACGGUGCUGAAGUAACAAAUGCCCUGCUUCCAGGAAAAGCCUCUAAGCAUCAGGUAACAUCAAAUCGUACCCCAAACCGACACAGGUGGUCAGGUAGAGAAUACCAAGGCGCUUGAGAGAACUCGGGUGAAGGAACUAGGCAAAAUGGUGCCGUAACUUCGGGAGAAGGCACGCUGGUGUGUAGGUGAAGUCCCUGCGGAUGGAGCUGAGACCAGUCGAAGAUACCAGCUGGCUGCAACUGUUUAUUAAAAACACAGCACUGUGCAAACACGAAAGUGGACGUAUACGGUGUGACGCCUGCCCGGUGCCGGAAGGUUAAUUGAUGGGGUUAUCCGUAAGGAGAAGCUCUUGAUCGAAGCCCCGGUAAACGGCGGCCGUAACUAUAACGGUCCUAAGGUAGCGAAAUUCCUUGUCGGGUAAGUUCCGACCUGCACGAAUGGCGUAAUGAUGGCCAGGCUGUCUCCACCCGAGACUCAGUGAAAUUGAACUCGCUGUGAAGAUGCAGUGUACCCGCGGCAAGACGGAAAGACCCCGUGAACCUUUACUAUAGCUUGACACUGAACAUUGAGCCUUGAUGUGUAGGAUAGGUGGGAGGCUUUGAAGCGUGGACGCCAGUCUGCGUGGAGCCAACCUUGAAAUACCACCCUUUAAUGUUUGAUGUUCUAACGUUGGCCCCUGACCGGGGUUGCGGACAGUGUCUGGUGGGUAGUUUGACUGGGGCGGUCUCCUCCCAAAGCGUAACGGAGGAGCACGAAGGUUAGCUAAUCCUGGUCGGACAUCAGGAGGUUAGUGCAAUGGCAUAAGCUAGCUUGACUGCGAGCGUGACGGCGCGAGCAGGUGCGAAAGCAGGUCAUAGUGAUCCGGUGGUUCUGAAUGGAAGGGCCAUCGCUCAACGGAUAAAAGGUACUCCGGGGAUAACAGGCUGAUACCGCCCAAGAGUUCAUAUCGACGGCGGUGUUUGGCACCUCGAUGUCGGCUCAUCACAUCCUGGGGCUGAAGUAGGUCCCAAGGGUAUGGCUGUUCGCCAUUUAAAGUGGUACGCGAGCUGGGUUUAGAACGUCGUGAGACAGUUCGGUCCCUAUCUGCCGUGGGCGCUGGAGAAUUGAGGGGGGCUGCUCCUAGUACGAGAGGACCGGAGUGGACGCAUCACUGGUGUUCGGGUUGUCAUGCCAAUGGCACUGCCCGGUAGCUAAAUGCGGAAGAGAUAAGUGCUGAAAGCAUCUAAGCACGAAACUUGCCCCGAGAUGAGUUCUCCCUGAGACUUUAAGUCUCCUGAAGGAACGUUAAAGACGAUGACGUUGAUAGGCCGGGUGUGUAAGCGCAGCGAUGCGUUGAGCUAACCGGUACUAAUGAACCGUGAGGCUUAACCUU